rnacentral:lncRNA from 12 species
GCUAGGCUCAGUUUCCCCAGCUACUCAUAGGGUGCCUGGGCAAAUUAGAUGAGUGAGCCACCCUAGGGCCUGGCAGACGCAUCCCAGAGCUCUCUAUCACACAGCAGUGUCUGCAUUGCAGCGUAAGUGAGAGGCCAAGAUGCGGAACGGGGAGGUUGGUGGGGAUUUUGUUCCUGCUGGGCCCGACGUCAGUGUUUCUGAGAAAUGGACCAGCAAGGGAGCUGAUCCAUGCAGGUGCCCUCUGGGAAGUGCGUGGUCCUGAAGGCCGGGGCAGGAGGAAGCUCAGGACGUCUAGUGGAGUGGGGGCCAGCCCUGCCGCCCGCCAGCCGCUGUCUGUCUGGGCUCCUGGUCCGUCCAUCCUGCUGCGGCUUUCCCAGGGGAGCCGGCCGGGAAACCAGAGCUGCGGGCAGGAGGCGAGGGCCGUUUCAUCCACCUUGGGAUGGCAGUGAGUUACAGGUGAGGCCAUUGUUCCUGCGCACAGGUGGGGAUAAUGCGUCCUGACAGCCCCAAGGAUGGGCCCCUGGCAGGCCCGCCGGCCUGGCCCGAGCCCCAGGCUGGCGCUCGUGGGCACCCGCAUUACGGAACGUCCUGUGAGCGCUCCCCACGGCCUGGCCUCUUCAUGUGCUUCCAGCGCCCGCGGCUUGGACACACCUGGGAGCAGCGUGGCCCAUUCACUGAGCGCUUUGGCGAAGGUCACCAUCAGCCAGGGACAGAAUGAUCUCAUCUUGUUCUCCAUGGUGAGAAGAAAGUGGAGUUCUCCUGUGUGCCAGCUCUCCAUCCACAAUGUCAUGUUUUGUCCUCAAAGGAUUCCUGUGUCUGCUCAGCCCUUUCUGGGGCCACCCAAUGGGACUCACCUUGGGGGAUCUCAAGAGGUAGCUCACUGCAGGACACAUUUAUUUGGCAUUCGUCUCCCAUGGAGAAGCUGCCCAUGUCAGGCCUGGAAGAUUGGAGACCCUGGACGAUGUGGGUAGAAGUGAAUCAAGAGGCCUGUGUGAACGCGGCCAGCUCCUUGCUUCUCGGGACCUUCUCUGCUUCCCUGGAAGGGAGGCAGGUGGCACGGUGGUUAGGAGCUUGGGCUCUGGGCUCAGGCUGCCCCUCUCUGGCUGCGUGUCCUUGGAAAACUGCUUUGCACCUCAUUGCGCGCAUCUGUAAAAUAGGGAUCCUUGUAGUAAUAAAAUGAGCUAAUACAUGUAGGCUGAUCUAAGA